rnacentral:rRNA from 1 species
AUGACGGAGGCGUCGAUGACAACCUCAAAGGCGAGAGUGCCGCACAAUCUCGGUGUGGUCAUUACUAUAUGGGCACCAAUUGUUUUGGUGUACUUUAUGGACACACAAAUAUGGUAUGCUAUUUUCUCCACUGUCUUUGGGGGUGUUUCGGGUGCCCUUAGUCAUGUCGGUGAGAUACGUACCCUAGGCAUGUUGAGAGUCAGAUUCAAAUCAAUGCCAGAUGCUUUCAGGAAAUGUCACGUGGCAGCACAUAAAGAGCAAGCACUUGAUGUGAGGAGCUUCUUUUGUGUUUGGAAUUCAUUCAUCAAUUCCUUACGAGAGGAAGACUUCAUUAGUGAUAGAGAGAAGGACAUGUUGAUGGCUCCAUCGUCUUCAAGUAAUUUACCUAUUGUUCCGUGGCCUCCUUUCCUCCUUGCUAGCAAGGUACCAACAGCUCUCCAUAUGGCCAUGACUUCCAAAGAGGGGGAUGAACAUGAGCUGAUCGAAAAAAUCAAACUAGACAAGGACAGAUACAAUGCAGUUAUAGAAUGCUACGAGUCCUUGAAAAUAAUAGUUGUUUGUCUUCUGCUAGACUAUAAUGAUAAAAGAAUUGUCCAUGAUAUCGAUAAAAUAGUGCGAACUAGUAUGCAAAAUAACACACUUUUGGACGACCUCGAGAUGGCAGAGAUUGGUAAAGUCAGCAACACAUUGGCAAAAUUAUUACAGCUACUGUGUUUUGACUCCAUAUUACAAUGA